AUUGAACGCUGGCGGCAUGCCUUACACAUGCAAGUCGAACGGCAGCGGACCUUCGGGUGCCGGCGAGUGGCGAACGGGUGAGUAAUAUAUCGGAACGUACCUUUCAGUGGGGGAUAACGUAGCGAAAGUUACGCUAAUACCGCAUAUUCUGUGAGCAGGAAAGCAGGGGAUCGCAAGACCUUGCGCUGAUUGAGCGGCCGAUAUCAGAUUAGCUAGUUGGUGAGGUAAAGGCUCACCAAGGCGACGAUCUGUAGCGGGUCUGAGAGGAUGAUCCGCCACACUGGAACUGAGACACGGUCCGAUACACCUACGGGUGGCAGCAGUAGGGAAGUAUUG
rnacentral:rRNA from 1 species